rnacentral:rRNA from 1 species
AUUGAACGCUGGCGGCAGGCCUAACACAUGCAAGUCGAGCGGAUGAAGGGAGCUUGCUCCUGGAUUCAGCGGCGGACGGGUGAGUAAUGCCUAGGAAUCUGCCUGGUAGUGGGGGAUAACGUCCGGAAACGGACGCUAAUACCGCAUACGUCCUGAGGGAGAAAGUGGGGGAUCUUCGGACCUCACUCUAUCAGAUGAGCCUAGGUCGGAUUAGCUAGUUGGUGGGGUAAAGGCCUACCAAGGCGACGAUCCGUAACUGGUCUGAGAGGAUGAUCAGUCACACUGGAACUGAGACACGGUCCAGACUCCUACGGGAGGCAGCAGUGGGGAAUAUUGGACAAUGGGCGAAAGCCUGAUCCAGCAAUGCCGCGUGUGUGAAGAAGGUCUUCGGAUUGUAAAGCACUUUAAGUUGGGAGGAAGGGCAGUAAGUUAAUACCUUGAUGUUUUGACGUUACCAACAGAAUAAGCAACGGCUAACUUCGUG